UACGUAGGUGGCAAGCGUUGUCCGGAUUUAUUGGGUUUAAAGGGUGCGUAGGCGGCCCUGUAAGUCAGUGCUGAAAUAUCCCAGCUUAACUGGGAGGGUGGCAUUGAUACUGCGGGGCUAGAGUACAGAUGAGGUAGGCGGAAUUGGCGGUGUAGCGGUGAAAUGCUUAGAUAUCGUCAAGAACACCUAUAGCGAAGGCAGCUUACUAGGCUGUAACUGACGCUGAGGCACGAAAGUGUGGGGAUCAAACAGG
rnacentral:rRNA from 1 species